GCAUCGAUAGCUCAGGGGCAGAGCGGUGGGGCGUUUACCCAUGCGGCCCGGGUUCGAUUCCCGGUCGAUGUA